GACGAACGCUGGCGGCGUGCUUAACACAUGCAAGUCGAACGAGAGGACAAGAGAAGCUUGCUUCUUUUGGAAUCGAGUGGCAAACGGGUGAGUAACACGUAAACAACCUGCCUUCAGGAUGGGGACAACAGACGGAAACGACUGCUAAUACCGAAUACGCUUGGGAGACCGCAUGAUCUUCCAAGGAAAGGGUGGCCUCUACUUGUAAGCUAUCGCCUGAAGAGGGGUUUGCGUCUGAUUAGGCAGUUGGUGAGGUAACGGCCCACCAAACCUACGAUCAGUAGCCGGUCUGAGAGGAUGAACGGCCACACUGGAACUGAGACACGGUCCAGACUCCUACGGGAGGCAGCAGUGGGGAAUCUUCCGCAAUGGGCGAAAGCCUGACGGAGCAACGCCGCGUGAGUGAUGACGGCC
rnacentral:rRNA from 1 species